GUGGGGAAUCUUGCGCAAUGGGCGAAAGCCUGACGCAGCCAUGCCGCGUGAAUGAUGAAGGUCUUAGGAUUGUAAAAUUCUUUCACCGGGGACGAUAAUGACGGUACCCGGAGAAGAAGCUCCGGCUAACUUCGUGCCAGCAGCCGCGGUAAUACGAAGGGGGCUAGCGUUGCUCGGAAUUACUGGGCGUAAAGGGCGCGUAGGCGGACAGCUUAGUCAGAGGUGAAAGCCCAGGGCUCAACCUUGGAAUUGCCUUUGAUACUGGCUGUCUUGAGUUUGGGAGAGGUGAGUGGAACUCCGGGUGUAGAGGUGAAAUUCGUAGAUAUUCGGAAGAACACCAGUGGCGAAGGCGACUCACUGGCCCAAUACUGACGCUGAGGCGCGAAAGCGUGGGGAGCAAACAGGAUUAGAAACCCUAGUAGUCC
rnacentral:rRNA from 1 species